UAAAAUCAACAAUGAAAUUUAUCAUCACAAAGGGGUUUUGGGGAUGGGCACGAUCGUAUGCCAAACAUGCGAAGCGACGAUUGCGUACUUCGAAGAUGAAAAAGUGACUACGCUUUACGGUCAAUGCGAUGGUUGCGGGCAUGACGAUGACGGUGAAAAAGGGGAGUAAAACGGUCAAACAAAAUGGGGGAAGGAAUGAAGUAGCGCGCAUGUGAUGGGGGCACAUGCGCGCUGUU
rnacentral:sRNA from 1 species